GUUUUGAAACAAUGAAGAUGUGAGUGAUCUCUUAAGUCACCAUUAAUAUGUGUUUGUCUCUCAGAUCACGUCUCACCUGCCUCGAGGUAAGUCGUAUAGAGCUGCAAACGAGCCGGCUCGAGCUUACCUGUGUCAAGAUCCUUCCAAGCUGUUGAAUCCGAGCUCAUGAGAACCACUUAAUUAAGAAGACUUUUAAGCGGAAUC
rnacentral:lncRNA from 1 species